AGUGUUCAAUAGAACUGUGGUAGGUGAGUAAUGUCCCCUACUAGAAAGGAGAGGGCAAGGCUGGUGCCAGCCGCCGCGGUAAAACCAGCUCUUCAAGUGGUCGGGAUAAUUAUUGGGCUUAAAGUGUCCGUAGCCGGUUUAGUAAGUUCCUGGUAAAAUCGGGUAGCUUAACUAUCUGCAUGCUAGGAAUACUGCUAUACUAGAGGGCGGGAGAGGUCUGAGGUACUACAGGGGUAGGGGUGAAAUCUUAUAAUCCUUGUAGGACCACCAGUGGCGAAGGCGUCAGACUGGAACGCGCCUGACGGUGAGGGACGAAAGCCAGGGGAGCGAACCGGAUUAGAUACCCGGGUAGUCCUGGCCGUAAACGAUGCAUACUAGGUGAUGGUACGGCCAUGAGCCGUAUCAGUGCCGUAGGGAAACCGUUAAGUG
rnacentral:rRNA from 1 species